GGCAGGGUAGCUCAGGUGGUUAGAGCACGGCACUCAUAAUGCCGGGGUCGUGGGUUCGAGUCCCACCCCUGCUA
rnacentral:tRNA from 3 species